rnacentral:rRNA from 1 species
UACGUAGGGCGCAAGCGUUGUCCGGAAUUAUUGGGCGUAAAGAGCUCGUAGGCGGCUUGUCGCGUCGAUUGUGAAAGCCCGGGGCUUAACUCCGGGUCUGCAGUCGAUACGGGCAGGCUAGAGUGUGGUAGGGGAGAUCGGAAUUCCUGGUGUAGCGGUGAAAUGCGCAGAUAUCAGGAGGAACACCGGUGGCGAAGGCGGGUCUCUGGGCCGUAACUGACGCUGAGGAGCGAAAGCAUGGGGAGCGAACAGG